ACCUUUCUAGUAUUAGCACUCAGUACAAGUGACUUCCAAUCAUUAAGCCUUGGUUAAAAUCCAAGGAAAGGUA